rnacentral:tRNA from 1 species
GGGGCCAUAGCUCAGCUGGGAGAGCGCUUGCAUGGCAUGCAAGAGGUCGUGGGUUCGAAUCCCAUUGGCUCCA